UCCGUAGGUGAACCUGCGGAAGGAUCAUUACCGAGUGCGGGUCCUUUGGGCCCAACCUCCCAUCCGUGUCUAUUGUACCCUGUUGCUUCGGCGGGCCCGCCGCUUGUCGGCCGCCGGGGGGGCGCCUCUGCCCCCCGGGCCCGUGCCCGCCGGAGACCCCAACACGAACACUGUCUGAAAGCGUGCAGUCUGAGUUGAUUGAAUGCAAUCAGUUAAAACUUUCAACAAUGGAUCUCUUGGUUCCGGCAUCGAUGAAGAACGCAGCGAAAUGCGAUAACUAAUGUGAAUUGCAGAAUUCAGUGAAUCAUCGAGUCUUUGAACGCACAUUGCGCCCCCUGGUAUUCCGGGGGGCAUGCCUGUCCGAGCGUCAUUGCUGCCCUCAAGCCCGGCUUGUGUGUUGGGUCGCCGUCCCCCUCUCCGGGGGGACGGGCCCGAAAGGCAGCGGCGGCACCGCGUCCGAUCCUCGAGCGUAUGGGGCUUUGUCACAUGCUCUGUAGGAUUGGCCGGCGCCUGCCGACGUUUUCCAACCAUUCUUUCCAGGUUGACCUCGGAUCAGGUAGGGAUACCCGCUGAACUUAAGCAUAUCAAUAAGCGGA
rnacentral:rRNA from 2 species